rnacentral:rRNA from 1 species
UAGCUAAUACCCCAUAGUAUCCGGUUAUCCGGAUUAAGAUUAUCGCUUCGGGAGGGGCCUGCGUCUGAUUAGCUAGUUGGUGAGGUAAAAGCUCACCAAGGCGACGAUCAGUAGCUGGUUCGAGAGGAUGACCAGCCACACCUGGGACUGAGAUACGGCCCAGACUCCUACGGGAGGCAGCAGUGACGGAAUCUUCCACAAUGGGCGCAAGCCUGAUGGAGCAAUACCGCGUGCAGGAAGACGCUUUCGGAGUGUAAACUGCUUUUGUCGUCGAAGAUUAUGACUGUAGACGAAGAAUAAGGACCGGCUAACUACGUG